rnacentral:rRNA from 1 species
UGACGUUAGCGGCGGACGGGUGAGUAACACGUGGAUAACCUACCUAUAAGACUGGGAUAAUUUCGGGAAACCGGAGCUAAUACCGGAUAAUAUAUUGAACCGCAUGGUUCAAUAGUGAAAGACGGUUUUGCUGUCACUUAUAGAUGGAUCCGCGCCGCAUUAGCUAGUUGGUAAGGUAACGGCUUACCAAGGCAACGAUGCGUAGCCGACCUGAGAGGGUGGUCGGCCACACUGGAACUGAGACACGGUCCAGACUCCUACGGGAGGCAGCAGUAGGGAAUCUUCCGCAAUGGGCGAAAGCCUGACGGAGCAACGCCGCGUGAGUGAUGAAGGUCUUCGGAUCGUAAAACUCUGUUAUUAGGGAAGAACAAAUGUGUAAGUAACUAUGCACGUCUUGACGGUACCUAAUCAGAAAGCCACGGCUAACUACGUGCCAGCAGCCGCGGUAAUACGUAGGUGGCAAGCGUUAUCCGGAAUUAUUGGGCGUAAAGCGCGCGUAGGCGGUUUUUUAAGUCUGAUGUGAAAGCCCACGGCUCAACCGUGGAGGGUCAUUGGAAACUGGAAAACUUGAGUGCAGAAGAGGAAAGUGGAAUUCCAUGUGUAGCGGUGAAAUGCGCAGAGAUAUGGAGGAACACCAGUGGCGAAGGCGACUUUCUGGUCUGUAACUGACGCUGAUGUGCGAAAGCGUGGGGAUCAAACAGGAUUAGAUACCUGGUAGUCCACGCCGUAAACGAUGAGUGCUAAGUGUUAGGGGGUUUCCGCCCCUUAGUGCUGCAGCUAACGCAUUAAGCACUCCGCCUGGGGAGUACGACCG